rnacentral:tRNA from 1 species
AUGGUUGAGGCUCAGUGGCAGAGUGCUCACCUGGCAUGUGUGGGGUUCCUGGGUUCAAUCCUCAGCACCUCAUA